rnacentral:tRNA from 1 species
GAGGGUAUAGCUCAGUGGUAAAGCGCAUGUCUGGUAUGCAUGAAGUCUUGGAUUCAAUCCCCAGCACCUCCC